AAAUAUAUAUAUAUAUAUAUAUUUUUCUAUUUUCUGACAUGAAUAUAUAUAUAUAAAAAGUAUAUAGUAACAAAUUCAUUGCAAUUGACACUGCAUAAUAUAUUUACAUAAAGACAUGUGUAAUGUAUUUCAACAAUCAAAGCAGAAGCUAACUCUGAUUCCAUAUUAUUUAUAAUACAAUUUUAAUAAAAAAUAAUAAUUCAGAAAUAAUUUUAGCCUUCGUUUGAAAUUACGAAGAGAUUGCAUGACUACAUACAAUAAAAAAGUAUGAAAAAAAAAUUAAAUAUUUAUUUUUAGGAAUAAUUGUCUAUAUACCCCUCAAAACUUCAGAAAUAUCUCGUUUAACUCUACUUUUUUUUUUCUUUCCAAUAUAUCCCUUAUAUAUUCCUCCGUUAUUCCAAAAUAUCCCCGCAGUUAUCACCUGUUAAGUUAACUUGGGUUAAACGUGGGUUAAAUAUCUACCACAGUUAAAAAAAAUUAAAAUACCACUUUUGUCCUUAACUUAAAGUCAAAUAAGAAAUGUUGGUGAAUAUGGUAGAAGUAUAUAUUUGAAAAGAUUAAAAAGUAAAAUACUUUUUAUGCCCCUAACUUAAGGACAAAUAAGGAAAGUCGGUGCUGGUAGAAGGAUAUAUUUAAAAGGGCAAAAUAGUAAUUUCAUAGAGAUAACAGAGUUCAUUAACCGAUCUUAACUCUAGGGAUAUAUUUGAAAUAGAUUGGAACGUAAAAAAUAUAUUUUCAAUAUUAGCCUUCUAAAAAAGAUAAAUCAGAAAGUCGAAAAGAUAUUUUUCGAGAUAUAAGUAAUUGCCCCUUAUUUUUAUUACAUAAUAUCAUAUUUUAUAUAUCAUAAUGAAUCAGGUAUAAUAUUUUUUUUUCUCUCAUUAAAAAGAAUAAAAAUAACACUUUUAUACACUUUCAUCUAAAUUUCGUUUUACCUGUUGGCAUUACAUUUUGCCUCCGUAACAAGCAAGAUAUUAAUUGCAUAUAUAACUCCCAACCCCAUCCAUCAAAGCUAAGCCUCUAUAUAAACCCCUCACACCAUCACUACGACACUCCACUGAGCAACACUACUACUACUACUAUUAUUACUACUACUACUACUACUACACAAACUAAACACUUCCUCCCUCUCUAUAAAAUGUCCGGCCGCUCUUCCGCACCGCUUACGGCCGCGGCGCUGCUGCUGGGCGUGCUGCUGCUGGCAGCGCCGGCGGCGGAGGCGCUGACGUGCGGGCAGGUGGUGUCGUUCAUCUCGCAGUGCCUGCAGUACGCGCGAGGCCCGGGCACCAGCCCGCCGCCCGCGGCCUGCUGCAGCGGCGUGAAAGGGCUGAACAACGCCGCGCAGUCGACGCCCGACCGGCAGACCGCCUGCAACUGCCUGAAGAAAGCCGCCGGAACGGUCACCGGGCUGAAGGCCGGCCUCGUCGCCGGCAUCCCCCAACAGUGCGGGGUCAACGUCCCCUACGCCAUCAGCACCUCCACCGACUGCUCUAAGUAAGAACACAUACAUGUCAUCCGCUUAUGAGUCAGUUUUGUACGCAUGACAAAUUUACUGUCUAAAGAAUGAACUUUUCAUUGAACGACGAGUACUAAUUAAAGAUGUGGUCGGUACCAUAGAAAAUGAACUCAAAAAUAUAUUUAACAAAAUUUAUAAAAAAAAUAUACUUAAAAAUUAGGUAUAAAUUUGUUGGCCACUCCAGAUUUUGAAAUUAUAUACCUGAGAUUUUAGUUAGAAAUUCUCAUACUUAGUUGCAGGGAUUGCAAUGUUACGGAGAUCUAUCUAACACUUUCUUUUUUGUUUUUUGUCUUUUUUUGCUAAUUUUAAUGCAGGGUGCGCUAAGUUUAAAGCAAGGGGGAGGUGGUCAUGAGUUAGGAGGAGUAACUAAGAAUAAUAAGGUGGAGAGAGCUCUUUUGGAACACCUUUGAUGCGUGUCACGUUGUGUUCAUGGGCUCCUAAAUUAUCCAACUUUUUUAUAUCCAUGCAUGUGUCAAUGUUUGUCUCUCUUUCCUCAAGCUAUACAUCCUUAGUGGGCUUGGGUUUUGUAGCACUUGUUUCCUGUUUAUGAUGUGAUCAAAGACAUGUUCUACUUAUUUGAAUGGUUUACAUCUAGUCUAUACUUUAUGUCUAUACUUUAUGAUUGUGUUUAUACUUUAUGAUUGUGUUUGGUUGAAAAUGUGAAUCGUAAUCAGCAUAAAAUUAAAAUGGACUAUAAUAAAAACAAAGCGGUACGUAGUAUAUAUAUGCUGCAAUACUAUCGAUAAGAUCCAAUUUGCUUAAUGGAAUCGAACUGUUGGAUAAAAGGAUGUGUGGUUAGGAUGAUAGUGAUCAAUUUUUUAGAGUUAAGUGCGUAGUUGGUUGGUUGAAUAGUAUAAUCUAACGAGUAAAAAUGAUCAAAGAAUAGAUCUAAUGGCAGAAGACUCGAUAAUACCAAAAGCUUGGUACCAUCGAUAGUGUAGUAGCCGGACUCCGGACUCUCUCUCUCUCUCUAUAUAUAUAUACAAAAAUCAUAAUUUUAAAGUGUAAUCAAUUUAAACAAAUGAAGCCUAUUUGAGAAGAAGCUUAAAUGGGCACAAAUCAUCAUGAACACUUCAUACUUGAUAUAUUGAAGGUUUGCUGAAAGUAUUUUCUUAAAAACAUAUAUAUGCCAUGUUUGAAUCACAAAACAGACAUCUUUUUUUUUAAAAAAAUAAACUUUCUUGAAAUUGUGAAGUAACUAGAUUUCGAAUUAUUAGGAACAAGCACACCGAGAUCUUUCUUUGUUUUUAAUUCUUGAAAAUAAACUCGAUUACUAACCAUAAAGCCUUCUAAUGGAACAAGCACACAUAGAUCUUUUUUGUUUUUAAGAGGCCCAUGAGCCAAGUUAAGUUGUGAACUUCAAAAACCUUGGGAUCGUAUAAUUCAUAGCAUCUAUUCGGUGCUCGAAUGCUCGAAUUAGGAUGUUAAUUAGGUUUUCCAUAUUUUCUGCUGCUAGUACAAGUGGUAGGAACAAAUGAUACCUGAUUACUCGAAUCCCAUUGGUUUUGGGUUUGAAUUCAUGAUGUUUUCUACUUUACCGUGUAUAGACUACAGAGCAUGCGCAUGCUUUAAAACUACCUCUUGAUUUUUUUUUUUUUUUUUUUUUAAGAAAUAGAUAGCACGCUACCCGCUUCGUUUAUUUCAUUUAGAAAUAAACUUAGCUGAAAAUGUGAAACAACUAGGAUUCGAAUUUGGGUCUUAGGUACCAACCACCCAGCCCUUUACCACUUGCUCUAAGGACGAUCGGUUGAAUUCAUGAUGCUGCCCUUCGAAUUUUGUUUUCUCUGUACCUUGCCGCAUACGAUUGUUUCCAAAGAACAACAAAACAUAACUUAUGAAACUUAUAUAAAAUAUAAUCCACUUUGAAAGGAAUAGAUAAUGUAUAUUUGUUAAGUUUGCUAUUUAAUCUUUUAAUUUAUAUGAUUUUAGCUAUUGGAUGGCUUUUUUUGUUAUUGUGUUUUGACGCUUUACUUAUUUUAGCGGAUCACUUGAUUAAUUUAAAUAUCUCAGUGAUUCACAUGACUACACGCUUGUUAAAGCAAGCCAAACUGUGAAUUCUAAGGCCAUGUUUGGUUGGGGAACAAGGGUGGGGAUAAGGGGUUAUCCCCCCCUUGUUCCCCAAACACUAUUUUUAAAGGUGGGAACUAGCUAUUCCCACCCUUAACGGGUUAUCCUAGGAUAACCCGUUAAGGGUGGGAAUAGCUAGUUUCCCACCCUUAGGUGGAAUAGGGUGGGAACAAGUUGUUCCACCCUUAUUUUUAAAAAAAUAAAAAUUAAAAAUUUUAAUUUUAAUUUUAGUUUUAAAAUUAUAAUUGGUAAUUCAAAAUUCAAGUUUAUAGUUUUAAAUUUUAAAUUUAAAUUUUAAAUUUUAAUUAAAUUUUAUAUUUUUUAAUAUAAAUUUGAUAUUUAUAUUUUAAAAUUUAAUUUGAUCUUAAAUUUUAAAUUUUAAAAUUAAAAUUUUAAUUUUUGAAUUUAAAAAAAAGUAUUUUUAGGAUCACCCUGCUUGUUCCACCCAUGAAGAGAGAGAGAGAGAGAGAGAGAGAAUUUAAUUUAUUAUAAAAUUUAAAUUAUAAAUUCAAAAAUUAAAAUUUAUAAUUUUAAAAUUACAAAAUUAAAAAUUUAAAUUUUAAAUUGUUUAAUUUAAAAUUUAAAAUUUUGAUAUUUAAAUUUUUUUUAUAUUUAGAAUUUGAUAUGUUAUUUUUUAAAUUAAAAUUUCAUCUUAAAUUUAAUGUUCAAACUUUAAAAAAUUAAUUUUUUAAAAUUAUAAAUUUGAGAUUUUAAAAUUUAAAAUUUUAAUUUUAAUUUUUAAAUUAAAAGUUUAUAUUUUAACUUUUAAAAUAUAAAUAUAAAAUAUAAAAGUUUAAAUUCUAAUAUAAAGAAAAAGAUAAUAUCAUUAUUUUUUAUUUUUAACUACCAACUUUAAUUCUUAUCCCAUCUUACCUAACCAAACGCUAUUUUUCUUAUUCCCAGCAAUAACUCAAUUUUCAUCCAAACACAAAAUUGAUCUAAUUCUCGCUUAUACCUCAAUUUAUACCUAUCCCUGGAAUACCCACUUUUUGCUUAUCCCCGAACCAAACGAUACCUAAAAGUUUUAGUUUUAGUAUCUCAUCUUCUAAAUUAUUUUUAUUUAAGUUAUUUGGUAGUUUCUCAAUUAUUAAUAUUUGGACGCACCCUUCAUUUUGAUGUGAACAUACGCAUGCAAUAGUAUAUUCUAAUCAAAUACGUUGGAAAAAAGAAUACCUCCAAAUAGUAAAGUUGAAAGAAAGAUGAUCAAAUUACUCAAAUUAAUAAAUCAAAAGGAAUUGAGCUAUAGAAACACCAACCUUUCAAUACUUCAAUUUAGUUUAUUCUAUAAUGGCAUCUCGUAAGUUAUGAUCUUCAUCUCAUAAACUUUUUAGAAAAUAAAUUUUAUAUUGUUUGAUAUUAUUUAUCUAGUGAUUAAGCGGUCUCAAAUACAUCUUUUAUAUGCUGAUGAAAUUUAUUGACUCUGAGACUAUUUGAAUAAAUAGUAAAUAAUGUCGAAAAAUUACGAAAUCUUAUCUUUAAAAGUUCGUAGCAUGUAAAUCAUGUUCAAUAGUGUUGAUCAUUAAUCCGGAAGCCUUAUCAUCGAAUACAACGUAAAAACACUAAGGAGUUGGUACUUAAACCAUUCUGGCCAAACUCAAUUAAUUAAAAAAUAAUAUCAAAAAUAAAAUAUUUAAAUACUCAGAUAGUGGAAUCAAAAUAUGUUAUAAUUCAUAAUAUAAUUUUAAGUUUUUUUUUUUUGAGAAAUAGAUAGCAUGCUAGCCGCUUCGUUUAUUUUAUUUAUUUAAAAAUAAACUUAGCUAGAAAUAUGAAUCAACUAGAAUUCGAACUAGAGACCUCGGGUACCAACCACCAAAUCCUUUGCCACUUGCUCUAGGGACAAUCGGUGUAAUUUUUAAAGUUUUAAAAAAGAGAAAUGCUACUUCUAUACAACAAUUAAAGUAGGAUUAAAUCUUACAUCCAUCCAUCCAUCCAAGAGCUUAGACACUUCUUUUAGACCUUUAAUAUUAAAAAAAUAAUAAUAAGUAUAAAAUUAUUGGCCUUUUGAUGAUAGAGUAUAAAAUCUACGCUUAUUUUUUCAAAAAAAAAGCCUUGAUAAUUAAGACAAAAGAAACACCUAUAAGAAAUUAAGAAGAUUAUAAGCCCACCAAUUUGACCCUUUAAAUACGGCACAGAAUAAUCCAAACCGUGUUGUAGCUGUUGCUGAUGCUCGAAGCUUAUAGCUACGCACGUAAAGGGCUCAUCAGCACGGUAUCCAUAUAUUAAAUGCAUCUUUGUAUCACGGACGUGACUAUAGACUUUGCAUUUCGUGUUCGACAGUCAUGUGCCCGUGUGUCAGACUCAUGUCCGACAUGAAUGCAACAUCGACGCAGGGCGCAUCCCACGAUCACGAUGGGUGCGAAUGUUGGGAAUCGGGUACUCGUCCCGAUAGCGAAUUUUGAGUAUUCAUAAUCCGCUCCGGUAUGAACUGCUGUGAAUUCGGUAUCGAUUGCUGGAAUUUCGCAACGGAAGCGUCGAAUCAAAUUUUUUACUAUAAACCCGUCUCUUCAGCAAAAGCUGAUACAAUCACAAAGAGAAAAAAAAAACAACCAAACAGAAAAUAUAUAUCUGAAUCCUAAUAUAUUUAGACGGGUUAAUUUCAUACAGGUCCCUGCAAACAUGGUGAAUAGCAGAUAUAUUCCUAUAAAAUUCGACUUUUAUAAGUUAUUCCUAUAAAAGUCUUAAUAUAUUCAGAUAUGUCCCUGCCGGUAAGAUUCGUUAGAGAAAACUAGUUAAUCACAAUUAAAUACUAAAGUAUGGUUAAUUAAUAAUGCGAAUUGACAAUUUUGUCAUUCUUCUUCUUCCUCUUCUUCUUCCUCUUCCUCUCUUGCUUCUUCUGCUUCAUCUUCUUCUUCAUCCUUUUCCUCUUCUUCCUCUCCUGCUUCUUGUUUUUUCUUUUCUUUUUCGUAUCCUCAUUUUCCUCCUCCUUUUCUCCUCCUCCUUCUUCUUCUUCAUCGCCGUCAUCGAUGAUCCGAUCGUCGUCGCCGUCGUGGUGCCUACGCCGGCUGUCAUCACGGGCGCCUCCGAAAGCAUCGGCCACGCCUUUGCCUUCCGCAUCUUCCUUGUCCUCGUUGGCUGCAACCCGAACAAGCUCCACAAGGUUGCCGUCGCCACCACUGCUGCCACCGUCUGCUCCCACAACCUGAAGAGGAAGAGGAAGAGGGCAAGGGCAAAAUUAUCAUUUUACAACUCUACUGCUAAAAAAUUAACAGUUCUCUAACGGAUCCUAACCAUAGGGACAUAUUUGAAAAUAUUAAGACUUUUGUAGGAAUAUGAUCUGAAAGUUGAAUUUUGCAGGAAUAUAUCUGCAAUUUACUAUAUUUGCGAGAAUCUAUAUGAAAUUAAUCCUAUUAGAAUUCCUAUUCCAAUAAAUAUUUAAAUUUUAAUUGAUUUAUCUCCAAAAGAUUUAAAUAUUUAUCCUAAUCUAGUUAGAUUCCUACUCUAAUUAAUAUUUAAAUUUUAAUUUAUCUCCAACAGAUUUAAAUAUUAAUUCUUAUCUAACUAGAAUUAAUCUAUAAAUAUAAUCAAAUCCUAACAACGACUACAAAAUCAAAUAGAAGUGUAAAGACAAUUAAGGGUCCAGCUAUGAAAAAAUUUUAGAAUGCAACGGGGAUAUUGGUGACGUGGCGUAACAAACCAAUCAAAAAUUUGCUUUUACAGACAUAUGUCUCAUCAUGAUUAUAAAAAAAAAUGUUUAUUGUACUUUUGUUUGAAAAGAAGAAAGAUGAUUGGCCAGUUAUUGAUGACGUGGUGUAAGUAUAAUAGUGUAGAAUUCCUCCCAUCUAGGAUGCUUCUCAGAAGUUGCUAUUUAUAGUUUUUAAAUUUUUAGAUUUAUAAUAAAAUUACUACCAAAUAGUAAAUCCAAAUAAUCCAAAAGCUAAAUAGUUAAAAAAUAUAACCAAAUGCAUUCCAACUCAAUACAGGAUAAUAAUAUUCCUAUCACUCAUAAGAUAACAAUAAUCCCCAACCAAAUUGGACCAAAAAAAGACUUUUGUGCAGUCAUUUUUAAAAACUAAAAAACAAAAAACAAAGACUUAUGUUGACUAUUUAAUUUCAACCACAUUAUCGUGUAGUUGGAAUUUUUGGUAUCAANCAAAAAAAAAAAAAAAGAAAAAAAAAAAGAAGCAAAGUUUUUUUUUUUCUAUGUCAUAUACACUUUGCAAUUUAUAUUCGUGAGUUUAAUCACUUCUAGCUUAAUUAUGUAUUACACACCACUUGUUAAAUUCAUGAUCUUCAAAUCUAUUUCGUUGGACACUCCAUUUUUUCGACUUUAAUGAGCUCCGGUAGUUGAAAUUGUUACCCAAAACAUUGACCAAAAAAUAGCAAAAUAUAUAUAUUUAAUUAUUAAUAUACACUGCUUCGAAUUAGCAUAUGUGACAAUAUUUAAUUUGUAAAGAAGUGUAAAUUAUGAGAAAAUUAAGUGAUCAAGCAAUUACAAUGCUACUUCAAUACCAAAAAGUGGGGUUAAAUCUUACAUCCAUGUACAUCCAGAAGCUUAGACACUUCUUUUAGACCUUUAAUAUUUUUUUUAAAAAAUUAAUAACUAUAAAAUUAUUGGCCUUUGGAUGAUAGAGUAUAAAAUCUAUGUUUUUGUUUGAAUGUACAACAGAAUUACUCUUUUAAAAUAGUUCACUUUGCCCCCUCGUAGUAUAGUGUAUUUUUACUUUACCAUUAGGUGGUUCAAAAAAUUAUAUUUCACUAUUUUGUGGUUUAGCAUGCUUUCACUUUACCGCCCCGUAAUUCAAAAAGAUUAUAUUUAAUUAUUCUAUAUUUUUAUUUUUAUUUUUUUUAAAAAAAAAGCUUUGAUAAUUAAGACAAAAGGAACACCUAUAAAAAAAGUUUUUUUUUUUUUUUGAGAGAUAGGUAGCACGCUACCCGCUUCGUUUAUUUCAUUUAGAAAUAAACUUAGCUGAAAAUGUGAAUCAAUUAGGAUUCGAACUUAGAUCUCGGGUACCAAGUACCAACCACUAAACCCUAUAAAAGUUGAGCAAUGCUCCUAUGCACCGAACAAAUCUCAGCCAUUAAAAUUCUUUAAAUGUACGGUAACGCUAGACCUAUUAAAAGAGGGUGACCGGCACUUGGGGGUAUAGGUACCGGUCACCACUUUAAUAAGGGCAAAUUUUUUUUUUUUAUUACAUGGAGUUUACAAUGAGGGUAUUUUGGUAAAUUGUCAUCCUCAUAACAUGCCAUUUUUGUAAAUUUAGAAUAUUCCACCUUCCUUCAUUCUUAUCCUCCAAUAUUCCAUCUUUGUAUUAUUACCUUUUCUAAAUUAAACCUCAUGUCUUUAAACCAUAGUUAGUUAAUUCGAAUAUGAUAAAAAUUCGAUACGGAUAAAAUACGAAUAAAAUUCGCAAUUUUAAUUUUUAAGUUCGUUGAAAAAUACGGUUUAAAAAUUAGAUUCGCCAAUAAUUCGCAUACGCGAUUUAUACGAAAAUUUUACGUUUAUCAUUUAAAAAUUCGGAAUAAAAAUUCGUUUAUUUAAUUAAAAUUUUUUUAGAUUUAUGCUAUUAUCAUGCAUAAAUAAUUAUAAUUCUUAUAAAAUAUAAAAAUAAAAUUGGAUAUAUAUAUAUAUAUAUAUAUAUAUAUAUACAUAUAUUAUAUAUACACACACACACAACACACAAACACAAAAAGGGGGAGCAGUCCACGAGGCUGAGUGCAGCCUCGUGGACCGCAAUAUUUUCCUACACGUAGGCCGCGAUUUCUUCUUUCUCGCCGCUCUUCUUUUCCUUUUUUGUUUUAGAAUCAUUUAGUUUAAAUAGUUAACAAAUUUUAUUUUUUUUAGCUAUAAUAUAAAUUAAAUCUAAAUUUAAAAUUUAAUUUUAAUCAAUAUUUUUAAACUUUAAUGUUGUUUUUACUAUCGAAUGAACAGUUUGAAUAUAAUUUUAAAAAUAAAAGAUUUUAAUUUAAAUAAAAAAUAAAAGUUAUGUUUAUAAAUACAGCAUAAUUUAUAAUUUAAAUUAAAUUAGUAUAUUUGAAAUUUCGUGUCAUUUUAAUAUAUCAAAUUAACAAUUUGAAUUGAAAUAUACUAUUCAUUUAAACAUAAAUUUUUUCAUUCUGAAAAUAAAAAUAAAAAUUAAAUUUGAAUUUAAUGUACACAUUUAUUAUAAAGUUUAACCUCAAAUUGAAUUUUAAAUUUAAUUUAUAAAGAUUUAUUACUUAUCAAAUUAGCACUAUCUAAUUUGAUAAGUAACAAAAUUAAACAAGGAAACAAAUAUUUGUAUAAGGUUGAUCAAAUUUGAUAAUUAGUUUGUAUUUUUUUUUCCAAAUUAUCCUUAUGAAUGGUAACCUAUUGAGUAGGUAACCACUAUGCAAAAGUCAAUCUCGCCCUUAAAAUAUGAACGAUUAGAUUUAUUUUAUCUGGUGUAUUGAAGCAUUCCUCAUAAAAGUUAAGAAGAUUAUAAGCCCACCAAUUUGACCCUUUAAAAACGGUAUAGAAUAAUCCAAACCGUGUUGCUUAUGCUCGAAGCUAGCUACGCAAGUGGAGGGCUCAUCGGCACGGUAUCCAUAUAUUAGAUGCAUCUUUGGAUCAUGGACAUGACUAUAACCUUGCGUUUCAGGUUCGACACUCAUGUGCCCGUGUUAGACGAUCAUGUCCAACAUGAAUGCAACAUCAACGCACGUCCACGGCGCAUCCCAUGAUCACGAUGGAUGCGACUACAAAUCAAAUAGAAAGGUCCAGCUAUGGUGCUUUCAGAAGUUGCUAUUUAUAGUUUUUAAAUUUUUUAAAUUUAUAAUAAAACUAUCAUCAAAUAGUAAAUCCUAAUAAUCCAAAAGCUAGAAAGUUAAAAAAUAAAGAAGAAGAUAUAACCAAAUGCAUUCCAACUCAAUACGGGAUAAUAAUAUCCCUCUCACUCAUAAGAUAACAAUAAUUAAUCCCCAACCAAAUUGGACCAAAAGAAGACUUUUGUGGAGUCAUUUUAAAAUAUAAAAUAAAAAACAAAAAACAAAUACUUAUGUUGACUGUUUCGAUCGACUAUGUUAUCGUGUAGUUGGAAUAUUUUGUAUCAAAAUUUUCCAUUGUCAUUUUCUCAAAAAAAAAAAAAAAGCAAAGUUUUUUUUUUCUAUGUCAUAUACACUUUGCAAUUUAAAUUCGUGAGUUUAAUCACUUCUAGCUUAAUUAUGUAUUACACACCACUUGUUAAAUUCAUGAUCUUCAAAUCAAAUCAUUUCGUUGGAUCACACUCCAUUUUUUCAGCUUUAAUGAGCUCAAACAUCGACCAAAAAAUACCAAAAUAAAUAGACAGGAUAUUUAAUUAUUAAUAUACACUGCUUCGAAUCGCACUAUUUAAAAGGAACCAUUUUUUUGUUAAAUUCGUGACUUUCAAAUAUAUUUGGUUGGAUACUUGAUUUUCUUUUUUUUUCAAUUUUGAUGAGCACAUUUCCAAAACAUCGAUGGAGACAACAAAAUAUUAAUUAGAAGGGAACGAAUCGAUUAGCUCUGAUACCGCGUGUUACUUAAAAAAUCGAUGUAAUAGAAAAUAAUUUGAACUUUGUCUUAAAAAAAAUAAUAUCUCAGCAUUUGAGAGAAAAAUAUAAAUAAUAUGAAUAUAUUAGAAAAUAUGUUGCAUUUUUUAAUCAUGAAUAAUGUUAUACUCAUAUAUAAAUUUUAUAACACUUUAGAAAUUAGCAUACAUGGCGAUAUUUAAUUGGUGGAGAAGUUUAAAUUAUGAGAAAAUUCAGUACAUCAAGCAAUUAUAAUUUCUCCUUUAUUUCCUCACUAACGUCUUCAACUUUUGGUCCCAAAAAUCACAUCAUGGUCCUUUGAUUAUUGUGCAAAUCUCACAUUAAUUUUUAAAUUUUAAUUUAUUAUGUUAAAAGAAUUAAUUAAUUUAUUAGAUUGUUUUUAUUUUACUACUGAAACAUUAAGUUUUUAAAUUUUUUAAAUUUAUAAUAAAACUAUCAUCAAAUAGUAAAUCCUAAUAAUCCAAAAGCUAGAAAGUUAAAAAAUAAAGAAGAAGAUAUAACCAAAUGCAUUCCAACUCAAUACGGGAUAAUAAUAUCCCUCUCACUCAUAAGAUAACAAUAAUUAAUCCCCAACCAAAUUGGACCAAAAGAAGACUUUUGUGGAGUCAUUUUAAAAUAUAAAAUAAAAAACAAAAAACAAAUACUUAUGUUGACUGUUUCGAUCGACUAUGUUAUCGUGUAGUUGGAAUAUUUUGUAUCAAAAUUUUCCAUUGUCAUUUUCUCAAAAAAAAAAAAAAAGCAAAGUUUUUUUUUUCUAUGUCAUAUACACUUUGCAAUUUAAAUUCGUGAGUUUAAUCACUUCUAGCUUAAUUAUGUAUUACACACCACUUGUUAAAUUCAUGAUCUUCAAAUCAAAUCAUUUCGUUGGAUCACACUCCAUUUUUUCAGCUUUAAUGAGCUCAAACAUCGACCAAAAAAUACCAAAAUAAAUAGACAGGAUAUUUAAUUAUUAAUAUACACUGCUUCGAAUCGCACUAUUUAAAAGGAACCAUUUUUUUGUUAAAUUCGUGACUUUCAAAUAUAUUUGGUUGGAUACUUGAUUUUCUUUUUUUUUCAAUUUUGAUGAGCACAUUUCCAAAACAUCGAUGGAGACAACAAAAUNAUAUCAAAAAAUCGCAAAAAUUAUUUUCUAGAAACUUCAAAUGCGUUAGAUCAAGUCUAACGGAGCCGAUCGUCGAUUCGAAAAUUCCAUCAUCGAAAACGGCUCAGGAGCACAGAGGCCUCCGUACUCCUGAGAGCACAGCAGCCCUACUCUAUAUAUAUAUAUAUAUAUAUAUAUAUAUAUAUAUAUAUAUAUAUAUAAUCAAUUAAUUAAUUUUUAUAGAUUUUAUUUACAACUUCAAACACCACCCAUGUGGAUUCAUAUUUUCUCACUUUAGUAUCAUAUGGUUUAGAGUGUAUCAAUUUAGUAUUUUGUGAUUUUAUUUUUCUCUUUUUACUAUUUAUUUCACUAAUAUUUUUAUUAAAUCAGUGAGAAAGUUAAAACUAAAUGAUGCAAAAGUGAAUAUUCGAUAAACUUAGAUAGAAUAUCUAAAAUUUUGUAUAUAAUUUAAUAAAAUAUUAUCAGAGAAACUGACGAAAAGAGAAAAAUAAAAUCACAAGAUACUAACUUGAGACAUUUUAAACCACAAAGUAUUAAAAUAAGAAAGUACGAAACCACUGAGAUCGUGUUUGAAGUUUACAUUAAAAUUUUUUAUUUUACUUUUUUGUUCCUAUGCGCAACGUAUUCUAUGGCCAACAUCCAAACACCACGACACCAAAAUAAUACUGGAGCAAAAAUUUGCGUGAAAAUUACCCAAAAUGUCCUUUUCUUUUUUUUAUAUAAACCUCGCCCACACCUCCGACGACGACGAUCACAUACAAAUCUCCUAACAUACCAAAAACAUUCGUUCGUUGAUACAACAAAUCAAACACAUAUGGCCCGGUCCUCGUUUGCUCGCAAUAUGUUGUUAUCUUUGUUAGUCGCAGUUGCUUAUUUCUCCGCGGUGGCGCCGCGCUGCGCGGAAGCCGAGGUGACGUGCCCGGAGGUUUACGGUGUGCUGAUGCAGUGCGUGCCGUACCUGCGGUCGGGGGGCACCCCGGCGCCGCAGUGCUGCAGCGGAAUCCAGCAGCUGCUGGCGGCAGCGAGCACGACGGCCGACCGCCGCACGGCGUGCCAGUGCCUCAAGACCGCCGCGGCGGGCCUCUCCGGGCUCAACCUCGGCUACGCCGUCGCACUCCCGGGCAAGUGCGGGGUCUCGUUCCCCUACAAGAUCACACCCAAUAUCGACUGCUCCACGUACGUAAAGUUACGGCCGUUAAAUAUAAUGUAAAAUUUGUUUGAACCGAAAUUUUUGAUUCGACUAUCUAAUUUUUAAAAAUUUUAAUUUUAAUGUCUAAUCUUUUAAUUUACUUGAUUUGAGUCCGUCAACAAUACUUUGGCUUUCAAAUUAAAACUAAUUAUCUUUUUCAAUGAACUUAUAGUUGUCAGAAUUGUAUGAGGCAUAUAAAUUAAAUUUGUGCAGAUAAAGGACAUAUUUAAAUUUGAAAUUUAAAUAUUAUUGGCGGACUCAAAUUAAAUAAAUUAAAUGAUUGAAUAGUAAAAUAAACUUAUAAUGGUUCGACAUCAGAGUGGGCCUGGCCAAGCACGGCACGAGCACUAUAACACUCGUGUCGGAUGGGCUCGGCCAGUUAAACUGGGCCGUGCUGGGCCUUGCUCUCACGCCCCGAUGGCCUGGCACAGCCCAGCACGACACGAGCCUGGACCGUGCCGAGCCUGAGGGGAUGUCCCGGCCCGACACGACACGGCACGGCUCGACCAAUGUGGUCAGUGCCUCCUAAGGCGGUCCCGAGCAGGGAGUUGGGUUCCCCCUGCACCACCCCAACUCCCAAUGCUUUGGGAGUUGGGUUUAGGAGAUGGGUCUAUUGGACCAAAAUGCCACUGUUGGGAAGAAUAUUUCGGUCCAAAAAAUUUAAUAAUUUAAAAUAAUUUAAAAUUUUAAUAUUUUUAUAAAUGUAUUUUAAAAUUUUAAAUUUUUUUACUUAUAUAUUAUUUUUUUAAAAAAAUAUUUUUUUAUUUUUAUUUUUAAAAAAUUUUAUAUAUUUUUAAAUAAAAUUAAAUAAAUGAAUUCCUUAUCAAUGACACACGUACCCUCUUAAUGUAUUGUGUAUUUUCUUUUGUGAAUUAAUCAUAUAUAUUAUUACUAGGGAUAUGUUCACAGGACUUGAUAGCUAUCCCUACAUUACACCCGGCACGGCCCGGUCUCCAGUCGGGCCGUCCCGAACCGGGUAUCAACCCGACACAGCACAACCCAGUUUCAAGAACCUGGAGCCAGGUCGCGCUGGGGAGCCAGAUCUGACAUGCCUGGCCCGACCCGAAGCUCGAUCAAAGAAAANAUAUAUAUAUAUAUAUAUAUAUAUAUAUAUAUAUAUAUAUAUAUAUAUAUAUAUAUAUAUAUAUAUAUAUAUAGCUAGGCUCCUACGCUUUCGAAAGUACGGGGGCCUCCUUACUUGUAAGUUGUUUUCGACGAUGGGACGUCCGAUUCGGCGAUCGAUUCCGUUAGACAUGAUCUACGCUAUUGGAACUACCUAAAAACCAAAUUUUAUAAAUUUUUGACUUCGUUUGUCUAGUAAACGAGUAGCCUCAAAAUAAACGGCUGAAAAUAAAAAUCUUAUAAAAAACAGUGGUAAAGGACUCAAAUUUCAAAUCGAAAGUAUUGGUCUUACUAUUGACAUUAAGUAGAAUUUUCUAUUAAAUUUUUAUCUAAUUUGAAUACUUCUACACCGUUGAACUUAAAAACGUACCGCAUCGACCAUUAAAAGUCAUUUUUGGGACCUUUUGAUCGCUUAGUAAAUGAUGUCAAAAAAUUAUGAAAUUUGGUUUCUAGAUAAUUCCAAAGGGGUAGAUUAUACCUAACAGAGCCGAUCGUCGAAUCGGAUGUCUUAUCAUCGAAAACAACUUACAAGUAUGGAAGUCCCGGUACUUUCGAAAGUAUAGUAGAUGCACUCAUAUAUAUAUAUAUAUAGAGAGAGAGAGAGAGAGAGAGAGAGAGAGAGAGAGAGAGAGUGAUAAAAUAUUGCGCUAAUGUGGUAAAUAUAAAUCAACGCUUAUAUGAUAAUUCUCAUUUUGAAACCAAUGGUACUUAAUUUUUUAAGGAAGAGAUUUAUUUGCAAUAAUUGAUAAACGUUUAUUAUUAAAUUACAAAAGUUAUAAAAAUUUCAAAAAAAGAAAAAAGGCACUUUUUUUGUUGCCAAACAAACUUACAAAAUAUAUAUUAUCUUCUUUUUUUCCGUCUUAAUUUGCAGGAUACCGUAGGAAGAAGAUGGUCGCAAUGCAGAAUAAAAGAGACCCAAAAGAGAACCUAAUUUGUGUUGGUGCUGCUGAGUUAAUUUUCGUGCAUGUGGCUUAAAAGUAUUCUGGCUUAAUUCUAUAAUAAGAAGAUGACCGGACCGCUAUAUAUAGAGAUAUGUAAUUCUGAUGUGUAUGGUCCAAGAAGUAAUACUUGUUUGGCUGUAAUAAAUUAUAAGAUAAACUUCAAAUGUCAUCUUUAUGGUUUCGCACUUUCUUAUUUUAGUACUCUGUGGUUUAAAAUAUAUCAAUUUAUUAUCCUACGUUUUUAUUUUUCUCUUGUUAUCAGCUCUUUCGUAAUAUUUUAUUAAAUUAUAUACAAAAAAUUUUAGAUACCAUAUAUAGGUUUAUCGAAUAUUUACUUUAGUACCUUUUAGUUUUAAUUUUAUCACUGAUUUAACGAAAAAAAAAUUAGUGGAGAAAAUAAUAAAAAGAGAAAAUAAAAUCACGGGUACUAAAUAAUACAGUUUAAAGCGCAGAGUACUAAAAUAAAAAAAAAACACGAAACCAUAUGGGUGGUAUUUAAAGUUUUCUCUAAAUUAUAUGUCCUGAUUAAUUUAUGGUCAAAAUCUACAGGUUAACCUAAUAUUUAAUUGCACCUAAGCUGUUGAAUUAACUCUUUUCCAAGAAAGUAAGAAAGAAAAGUAAAAUUAAAAAAAUGGUAAGCACGAUCGGUGUAAAUUUGAGGUAUGAUGAACGAGAUAUCAUGGGCAUUAGAGACACCAUAUCAGCAAUAUUAUUGUCACAUUUUAGAUUUUUUUUAUUUUCUUAUGUUGUAAGUAGCUAACAUUUUUUUUUAAAAAAAAUCCUUCAAAUAAUUUGAAAGAAAAUAAAAAAAAAAAAAGAAAAACUAAUGGUGCUUAAACAAAAAGUCCCAUUAUGGAUGUGAAAAAUUUUAGAAUGUACCCGUUAUAUUAAUGAUCUGGUGUCACAUCAUAAUUAUAAAAAAUUAUUUUUAUUGUAUUUUUUUUUCUAAAAAAAAUAUAUAAUUAGCAUGUUAUUGCUGAUGUGGUGCAAGUACAAUACAAUAAACUUUCUCUAUAACUGUAUCCCGAAAAUAAAAGAAAAAGAAAAAAAAUUUGGAUGGGGAGGAAAACCACAGGACACUCCGUUACUUUAUAUAGCUUUAAAAUUCAUGUCAUUUACAUGAUAAACUAUGGACGAAGCGGUCUCAUCUUGAAAAUCCUCCUCAUCAUAAUAUAAAUUGUUUAUAUGUUAUUGGCUAUAUAUGUUUUCUCUUCUAAUUGUAAAUUAGGAGUUUCUCUUAGUCUUAUAUAUAAUUAUUUAGGAUCAGAUAAUAAAGUAAUUCAUAUUAUUCUGAGAAAAUAAUUUAAGGCCACACAUACUAUAUAUGUUAUUAGUUAUAAACAUAGAAUCAUACUCUCCAUAUGAUCGACAAUUGUUUUAAAAUUCUUUAAUAAAUAAAAAAAUAUCAAAUAGGAUGUCUAUCCAAUCAUCCAAAAUUAUCGAUGUUAAGAGUGAAAGAUUAAUAAUAAUCAUUUCAUAUUAAAAAUGGCAACUUACGGCCUAAGACAAGGCCAUUUCGCAUCCAAAAUUCGGAUCGAAUAUGAAACGAGUGCGGUGUUGGCUCAACCCCUUCGAAUCCUAUCGAAUUUCAUAAAGUUCAAUCUCUUCGUGAUCCUCAACCCAUUCGAAUCGCAAAAUUUUUCUUCUCAUCUUAUACUGUUCAAUCAUACCUUGACUAACACAUGAAAAAUAUUUCUUAUAUAUAAAUCUCAUAUCAACUUAAUCACCAUCACCACAGCCCAUAUGGUUGUGCCAUUCAUUGUAGCUCUCGAUCAUCUCAACAAACAUAUUAGAAUUUGACAAUAUAAAUAGAAAAACCAAACAUUUUCCCUCUUUCUUUUUGUUUUUCUCCAAUUUUUUCUUUUUUUUAAUCAUGCUUAGUAAUACAUAAUUCUACUGAGAAAGCAGUGCCCCAAUGUUAUCUGCUAGGCUCUUCACUGUGGUAGGAGACACAGCUCUGCUUCCCCCCAGGUACCAUUUUUGGAUCAUCUGCGCAACGUUGGCAUUUUCCACCACCAUUUUCACUUCUCCUUUUUCCUCCGUCGCAAAUGUUAUCUGCGCUCGUAACCGACAAACGAAAGCGCUUGAUAUUAGUAAAGCUAGAAAUGUAUGGUUUUAGAGCUCAAGUUCAUAAGAAAGAAUUGACGUUCGCCACUAUUUUUCUUCAUUUUGUAACAAAAUUUUCAAAAACGAAACUCACAACUCACCGACCGACCGUCAGAUAUUUUCAAGGGCUAAAGAUAAGUAAGUAAAAUAUUAAUACAAGAACUAUCCCUACGUACAUGCGUGUUUAUCAUUUCAUCUCGUAUAUAUUGCUAAGUUAAAAGUUAUCAAAAUAUUACAGAAAGAGUAAUAUCUGCUCUAUUAAUGAUAAUUAAUUUAUGCCAAAGAUGCUAACGUUGAAGGAACUUUGAUGGUGAUCAUUCCUUUACCUCUGCAGUGCGAGAAGCUACAGGAAAAUAGAAAGUGAUCACUGAAUCCUUCUUGAAAUAUUUGGUUUGGAAAAACUCGGCAAUCUUGUCAAGUGCCUCUUCUUCCUCUUCUUCGUACUUGUCGACGGCCACCAAUCGGUCUCUCACCGAGCUCUCUAACUGUACGCCGUACUGCGAACCCUUUAUCUCCUUUAUCACAACCACUUUGAAAUAUUUCUCCACGGGAGCUGCAGAUGAAUCAUGUAGCAAUGUACAUAUAUAGUUACUCGUUGAAGUCAUGCCAGACUCCUAACAUAAUUAAUUUCCUUCUUUUUAAUUCAAAUUCACGCCAUGGGUCUUCCAAAAAGUCUCGAGCCCAGGCGUGAGGGAGAGUGUUAAAUAUAAAAUUAUAUCAACACUCUUCUCUAAACUUAAACUUUUAGAGUACAACGGUUGUUUCACAUAAAAUAACAUAAGUUACUUUUCUAUUAAUAAAAUGCUAUACUUUAAACCACAAAAUAAUGAUUUGGUCGAUAUACUUUAAACCACAAAAUAAUGAUUAAUUUGCUCAUAUGUCGACCGCUAAAUUUUAAUUUUUCGAAGUUAAUUAUAUAUUGAAAUUAAAUCUCACCUGAAACAAGUGCCUCAAAGAAGGAAUCAUCUUCAGCAAGCAGUGUUCCCUUUUUGCCCUUCCAAUUUCCCAAAUGAUCAACAAUUUUUUCCUUUUCCAAGUAAAUCCCAAUUGCAUUGUACUUGAUUUGUAGGAAAUGAAUUUCUAUAUCAGUAAUACCUGUAAAUGGUACACAUAGUACAACUCCAAAAUUCAAUGUCUCAUAGAUAUAAUUUGACUAUAAAUGACAGAAUAUAUAUGUCAUGGAUAGAUCCCAAAUGUUUAAACAUUUCUUGAAACUUGAUUUUUUUUGAAUUAUUUAAUGAUCCCGUCAAAUUUCGCAGCUCUAACUAUUUUAUAGCCGAAAAACGUUCAGAUCAUCAACAGUUAAUGGAUUCAUUCAGAAUAACUCAAAUCAAAAUAAAAUAAAAGUUAGAAAAUGUUCAAAUAGUACAAUAAAAAGAAAAAUAAAGCUCUGGAGCCUAGUAUUUCAAAAAGUAAACUUCAAAUACCCCUCCUAGUUUCGCAUUUUCUCACUUCAGUACCAUGUGGUUUAAAGUGUAUCAAUUUAGUACUCUGUGAUUUUAAAUUUUUUUUUUGUCAGAUUUUUUUUCGUUAAAUCAGUGACAAAGUUAAAACUAAAAGGUACUAAAGUGAAUAUUCGAUAAAUCUAGAUGGGAUAUGGAAGUUUUUUAUAUAUAAUUUAACGAAAUGUUAACGGAUGAGCUAACGAAAAGAAAAAUAAAAUAAAAUUAUAGAGUAGUAAAUUGAUACACUUUAAACCACGUGAUAUUAAAGUAAGAAAAUAUAAAACCAUAGGGAUGGUAAGAACAUAAUUAAAGUAGCAUAAU
rnacentral:lncRNA from 1 species